AAAACGACUCUCGGCAACGGAUAUCUUGGCUCUCGCAUCGAUGAAGAACGCAGCAAAAUGCGAUACUUGGUGUGAAUUGCAGAAUCCCGUGAACCAUCGAGUUUUUGAACGCAAGUUGCGCCCGAAGCCAUUAUGCUGAGGGCACGUCUGCCUGGGCGUCACGC
rnacentral:rRNA from 1 species